UCGUGCUAGACGGGGAGCUGGCGGUGCCCUGUACCCGCAAUCCGCCUUAGCGGGGUUGAACUCCCUCUCGAGGUACGGCUCUUUGGGACUACGGUCGUUACGGGAUGUCGAAGUUUGGGUCCUGCACGGCGGGGCACUGUGAAGCGGGUCAGGACCGGAAGGUAGCAGCCCUAAGCAGCACGCCUCGGGUGAUGCGGGGACGCCCGGAUGGAGUCCACGAGCGGACGCAAGCUGGAGGGAUCGUAUCGACAGGGGGUGCACGG
rnacentral:SRP_RNA from 1 species